rnacentral:rRNA from 1 species
GCAUAUCAAUAAGCGGAGGAAAAGAAACCAACCGGGAUUGCCUUAGUAACGGCGAGUGAAGCGGCAAAAGCUCAAAUUUGAAAUCUCCGCAAGGCGAGUUGUAAUUUGAAGAAGGCGACUUUGGAAUGGGCCCUUGUCUAUGUUCCUUGGAACAGGACGUCACAGAGGGUGAGAAUCCCGUGCGAUGGGGUGUCCCGUUCCGUGUAAAGUGUUUUCGACGAGUCGAGUUGUUUGGGAAUGCAGCUCUAAGUGGGUGGUAAAUUCCAUCUAAAGCUAAAUAUUGGCGAGAGACCGAUAGCGAACAAGUACAGUGAUGGAAAGAUGAAAAGCACUUUGAAAAGAGAGUGAAAAAGUACGUGAAAUUGUUGAAAGGGAAGGGCUUGAGAUCAGACUUGGUGACUCGUCACUGGGCCAGCAUCGGUUCGGGUGGCAGGACAAGACCGUGGGAACGUGGCUCUGCUUCGGCGGAGUGUUAUAGCCCGCGGUGAUACUGCCUACCUGGACCGAGGACUGCGGAAACUAGGAUGCUGGCAUAAUGAUCUUAAGCCGCCCGUCUUGAAACACGGACC